rnacentral:rRNA from 1 species
GCAGAAGCGGGGAUAAUACCAUANNACGAGAAGACCCUAUGGAGCUUUANACGNCANAGCAGCCCAUGUAAAGCACCCCUUAACAAAGGAAAAAACCAAAUGAAGCCUGCCCUAAUGUCUUUGGUUGGGGCGACCGCGGGGAAAUACAAAACCCCCAUGUGGAGUAGGAAUACACAUUCCUAAACCCAAGAGCUCCCGCUCUAAUGAACAGAAAUUCUGACCAAUAAGAUCCGGCACACGCCGAUCAACGGACCGAGUUACCCUAGGGAUAACAGCGCAAUCCCCUUAAAGAGCCCUUAUCGACNAGGGGGUUUACGACCUCNAUGUUGGAUCANGNCNUCCUAAUGGNGCAGCCGCUAUUAAGGGNUC